rfam:Dipodomys ordii contig_25313, whole genome shotgun sequence.
GGGAAGAUGGCUCAGUGGUAGAGUGCUUGACUUACAUGCAUGAGGCCCUGGGUUCAAUUCCUCAGUACCA